rnacentral:lncRNA from 1 species
CUGGCUCGGCCCAGAUCCGCACCCCGCGGGUUUCACCACCUGAGGAAGCCCCAAGCGGGCCGGAGCGGCUCUGCGGGAAAUCUUACCACUCCAGCAACGACAAGGACAAAAUGCAAAGCAAAGCUGCCCCAAAUUCACUGGGAGUUAAAAAAAAGGCCAAAAGGCCGCGGAGGAGGCGUUGGGGCCACAACCGUUCCCCUCUGUGGGAGGAUGUGCUCAGCGGCGGGCCCGCCGCGCUUUAAGUGGCGGAGGAAGGGCGGGGGCGCGCACCGGUGGCUAAUUGGACCGAGGCCUUAUCGCCUCAGCCGCCCGAGAGACCCUCAGGCACCGGGAGGCUGACCGGGCAGGACUCCUACUCCCAGUGAGGGAGCAGAAAUAAGAAAGAUGAAAAAGGUUGCAAAAGCCAUAAGACAAUCUUCAGCACUUUUACUAACUGCAGAGCCAUCACAACCGAAAACAGAACUGAAGUGGAAGGAACUAUGCCAUCAUUUGAUCACAUUAAAACUUUGCAGAAGGCAAAGGCAGACUAUGCAUCAUAAUCUUACUGUUUUUCUGGUGCCUAAAGUGAUAUGCAUGCUGUAG